rnacentral:rRNA from 1 species
GACGAACGCUGGCGGCGUGCUUAACACAUGCAAGUCGAACGGAAAGGCCCUUCGGGGUGCUCGAGUGGCGAACGGGUGAGUAACACGUGGGUGAUCUGCCCUGCACUUUGGGAUAAGCCUGGGAAACUGGGUCUAAUACCGAAUAUGACUACAUGCUUCCUGGUGUGUGGUGGAAAGCUUUUGCGGUGUGGGAUGGGCCCGCGGCCUAUCAGCUUGUUGGUGGGGUAAUGGCCUACCAAGGCGACGACGGGUAGCCGGCCUGAGAGGGUGACCGGCCACACUGGGACUGAGAUACGGCCCAGACUCCUACGGGAGGCAGCAGUGGGGAAUAUUGCACAAUGGGCGCAAGCCUGAUGCAGCGACGCCGCGUGAGGGAUGACGGCCUUCGGGUUGUAAACCUCUUUCAGCACAGACGAAGCGUGAGUGACGGUAUGUGCAGAAGAAGGACCGGCCAACUACGUG